rnacentral:rRNA from 1 species
UACGUAGGUGGCAAGCGUUGUCCGGAUUUAUUGGGUUUAAAGGGUGCGUAGGUGGCUUUUUAAGUGAGUGGUGAAAACGUACCGCUUAACGGUAUACCCGCCAUUCAUACUGGGAAGCUUGAGUAUGCGUGAGGAAGUUGGAAUGCGUGGUGUAGCGGUGAAAUGCUUAGAUAUCACGCAGAACGCCGAUUGCGAAGGCAGAUUUCUGGCGCAUGACUGACACUGAGGCACGAAAGCGUGGGUAGCGAACAGG